AGAGGUCAAGCCUGCCCAGUGGUUCAACGGCCGCGGUAUCCUAACCGUGCGAAGGUAGCGUAAUCACUUGUCUUCUAAAUAAAGACCAGUAUGAAAGGCAUCACGAGGACAAGACUGUCUCCUUUUUUCAAUCAGUGAACCUAAUCUCCCCGUGAAGAAGCGGGAAUUAACAUAUAAGACGAGAAGACCCUAUGGAGCUUCAAACAUUAUGACAUCUGGCACUUUGAUCAUAUGUUUUCGGUUGGGGUGACCGCGGAGAAAAACUCACCCUCCGCAAUGAAUAAACAACAAACUACACCUUUAUGUAUCAACAAACUGACAGCUAUUGACCCAAUAAUUGAUCAACGAACCAAGUUACCCUAGGGAUAACAGCGCAAUCCACUUUGAGAGCCCCUAUCGACAAGUGGGCUUACGACCUCGAUGUUGGAUCGGGGUAUCCCAGUGGUGCAGCCGCUACUAAAGGUUCGUUUGUUCAACGAUUUAAACCCCACGUGAUCUG
rnacentral:rRNA from 1 species